GAUGAACGCUGGCGGCGUGCCUAAUACAUGCAAGUCGAGCGAACAGACGAGGAGCUUGCUCCUCUGACGUUAGCGGCGGACGGUUGAGUAACACGUGGAUAACCUACCUAUAAGACUGGGAUAACUUCGGGAAACCGGAGCUAAUACCGGAUAAUAUAUUGAACCGCAUGGUUCAAUAGUGAAAGACGGUUUUGCUGUCACUUAUAGAUGGAUCCGCGCCGCAUUAGCUAGUUGGUAAGGUAACGGCUUACCAAGGCAACGAUGCGUAGCCGACCUGAUAGGGUGAUCGGCCAAAAUGGAACUGAGACACGGUCCAGACUCCUACGGGAGGCAGCAGUAGGAAAUCUUCCGAAAUGGGCGAAAGCCUGACGGAGCAACGCCGCGUGAGUGAUGAAGGUCUUCGGAUCGUAAAACUCUGUUAUUGGGGAAGAACAAAUGUGUAAGUAACUAUGCACGUCUUGACGGUACCUAAUCAGAAAGCCACGGCUAACUACGUG
rnacentral:rRNA from 1 species